rnacentral:tRNA from 1 species
GCAGCUCUCGGGGAAGUUGCCCUUGAAGUGGUUGGUGUCCACCUCGAUCUUGGUGGGCGUGCCGGGGCGGCCGAGCUGCA